rnacentral:misc_RNA from 3 species
AACGCACAUUGCGCCCCCUGGUAUUCCGGGGGGCACACCUGUUCGAGCGCCAUUUCUACCCUGGAGCCCUGCUCUGUGAUGGGCCCCGUCCUCGCGGACGGGCCCGAAACCCGUGGGCGCCGUCGUCCGGCCCUGAGCGUAGCAAGAGAAAUCCCUCGCUCGGAGUGCCUGCCGCCGGCCGCCCCGAAACCCAUUUUUUUAAGGUUGGCCUCGGAUCAGGUGGGGAUACCCGCUGAACUUAA